GGAGGGAGGAAAAUCGUCAAAGAGAAGGUGGCUAUGGGGGAAACCGUCCCCUCCCUAGUCCCUUCCCCUUCGUUUGGUUUUGGUUACAUGGGCCUAAGUUGGGCUAUCUAGCUCAGCUUUAGUCUUUUUUUGCACGGGCCUGAAAAUAUACUUUCUUCCACUGAUUAUUGCCAAAUAAAUUUCUUAUUAUAGUAGAAAUCAAAUGGCAAGAAUAAAAUAAACCAUUUAAUUUUCAGGGAAUUACAUCCCCCCCCCCCAAAUCUUCUUCUGUUUUCUUUGAAAGAACCCUUGGUGAGUCCAUGUUUGUUUUCCCCUUUGUUCUUAUGUGUUUACCGUCAAGAUAGAUCUGGGGAGUUGAAAGGGAUGGGCAUGUGGUGAGUCUCUACUUGCAGUUGGGUACAGAUUUCGGUUUUCAACUACGACGGAGAUUUUCCCCAUGUUAGGUGCGUGAUAAGGCUAUAGUGUAUUUUAGAAAGUUGUAUAUAAUGAUGUAAUCUAGCUUUCAGCCAAUUUUCAUGUGUUUUUAUUGGAUGGUUUGGGAGAAAUCUAAGUUUCAAGUCACGUGUAUAAUUUCUGAUGAAAUCUGGACAGUAGUACAUUGAACUGUUUUCAGAGGGACUAAAUAGCCGAAUUACAUAGUCUUCAGAAAAACAAAGUUGUAGGUUUUGUUUUUAUCUUUCCAGAUUGGUGAAGUACACACAGUGGGGAUGAGUAGAACUUGAGAUAUCGAGUUUUUACUAUCUGCUGUCUGGAGUUCUAGGCAGAUUCCAAGCCUUGCUUUCAACUGAAAAUUUUACUUACUUAAUUGUCAGAAUUUUGUUGACAUGUCUUGAGAAAAGUUGUAGAUCUUGUUCUUUAGAAUUCUAGAAUAUUAACUUUUGUCAUAUUUUGAAUAGUUUAAUAAAAGUUACAAAAUUAAUAAGAUAUGCUGCUCGUGUGGGCAGAUUCUCAGCUUUCACGUUGUAGUUUUCGAAAGGGGUUUCCAGUGUACAAAGCGAUUGAUAUAUUUUUGUACGAGUUUUCCAUAUUUUUUGUAGCUAAAUUAAUUAUUGUACAGUUGUUUCAACUUCAGGUCACAACUAUGGCCCGUUAUCUCCAUUGGUAAAGGCAAGUGGAUGUAGCGGUGGUGAUACCCAUUAUCUUGUUAUUGGUUGUCUCUACCUUAAUUACAUCGUUGAACUUGAUGAUAUCCUAAUGAAUCAAUUUGAUAUUUAUACUUGAUGUUCCCACUGUGGAUACUCAACUCUUUCAUACAUAAACGUGAUACUAUUGAAUUGUGGGAUGUAUGUCGAAUUAUGGUAAUUUAUAUCCUUGUAUUGCGAUGAAGAAUGUGUAUGGUCAUGGUAUGUGGAUGUUGUGCCAUAAUUGUGCAUAGAGCAAGUUUUGCAUCUCAUGUAUUGGAAGUUAUGUCACGCAGCGUCAUGACUGUACCGGUACACCACCGUUCUUUCCUGAGAGGGGUGCGGUGUGGAAGAGCGUGGCAUGGCAUGUUGUGUAGUUUUGCAUUUGUGUGGAAGUGAUGUUGUGGCGAAUGUUGAAGCCUUGUUUAGGUAUUAUAUAUGAUGAUUUUAUUGUAAUUGCUAACUCCGAUAAAUCUUGAUGACAAUUCUAUUGCAUUUCGAUAGCUUGUUAAAGAAUUCACUUGCUGAGAUUUAUUCUCACCCCCUUAUAGUCUUUUCAGGUACAUGUCCUGGCAUGUUUGCAUGGCAUGUUUGCAUGAAGGGAUGGGAGUAGCCUUUGCAACUCUACACACAAUGAUCUCACAUUUCUAAUGACGUGAUCAUAAAACAACUAAUAUGUGCUCUUAAUAAUGCAAUCAAACACUAGUGUUGUAGUUUGUAGCCUAUCAAACGAUCUUUUGUUAGUCAAUUCAUAUUUGUUAGUUUAUUGUUGUUGUUGGACAUAAAGCCUUAUAUGUAAUUGUCGUUGCUUCCGCGAUGUUUCCUCUAUUAAAGUACUUGCUGC
rnacentral:lncRNA from 1 species